UACGUAGGGGGCGAGCGUUGUCCGGAUUUAUUGGGCGUAAAGAGCUCGUAGGCGGUUUGGCAAGUCGGGUGUGAAAACUCCGGGCUCAACUCGGAGACGCCACUCGAUACUGCCAUGACUCGAGUCCGGUAGGGGAGUGCGGAAUUCCUGGUGUAGCGGUGAAAUGCGCAGAUAUCAGGAGGAACACCGGUGGCGAAGGCGGCGUCCUGGACCAACACUGACACUGAUGAGCGAAAGCCAGGGGAGCAAACGGG
rnacentral:rRNA from 1 species